rnacentral:lncRNA from 1 species
CGGUAAAAUGGGCUUUCUAGCCGGUGGAUGGGCCGAGUUUGGGCGGCAAGCCCAUGUAAUUCAAAAUUUUUUGAAGGUUCUAGAAGAACAUGAGAAAUAUCUAUAUAUAUAUGUAUGAAAACAAAAAAGAAAAAAUAUCCUAGGCCUGACAGAUAUAGAUCUUGGCCCACAGGAUCUGAUUAGUUCAAGUUAGCACCAAAACAACGCUCAGGAAGCACAUCUUCCUUGGCGUGCUUAUGUGAAUGCCCCCUUGGCGUGGUUGACCAACGCCAAGGAAGCAUUUCACUGUUGAAUCCUGGUGGACCAACAACGCCCAGGAAGCACACCUUCCUUGGCGUGCUUACGUGAAUGCCUCCUUGGCGUGGUUGACCAACGCCAAGGAAGCAUAUCACUGUUGAAUCCUGGUGGACCAACAACGCCCAGGAAGCACACCUUCCUUGGCGUGCU